UCCUAGUUUCCUAGGCAGUCCCAUCAGAGUGCCCUAAAAGGUUGCAACUGAUAGCAAGGGUUGCGCUCGUUAAAGGACUUAACCCAACAUCUCACGACACGAGCUGACGACAGCCAUGCAGCACCUGUGCAAUUGUCUCUGCUUUCGCAGAGAAGACUCUAUCUCUAGAGCUGUCAAAUGCAUGUCAAACCCAGGUAAGGUUCCUCGCGUAGUAUCGAAUUAAACCACAUGUUCCACCGCUUGUGCGGACCCCCGUCAAUUCCUUUGAGUUUUAAUCUUGCGACCGUACUCCCCAGGCGGAUCACUUAACGCGUUAGCUACGACACCAAUUCCGCAAAGCGAAACUGACGUCUAGUGAUCAUCGUUUACAGCGUGGACUAC
rnacentral:misc_RNA from 1 species